rnacentral:rRNA from 1 species
CUGCUGCCUCCCGUAGGAGUCUGGUCCGUGUCUCAGUACCAGUGUGGGGGGCCUUCCUCUCAGAACCCCUACGCAUCGUCGGCACGGUGGGCCGUUACCCCGCCGUCUACCUAAUGCGACGCAUGUCCAUCCUAUGCCGGAUCUCUCCUUUAACCUCCCGGGAAUGCUCCCAAAAGGUGUUACGCGGUAUUAGGCCGGAUUUCUCCGGGUUAUCCCCCUGCAUAGGGCAGGUUGCAUACGUGUUACUCACCCGUGCGCCGGUCGCCGGCGG